rnacentral:lncRNA from 1 species
GCAUUCAUUACCGAGGCCCUCGGCUUCUUCCAUAACUUAUUCCCUUGGCUGGAGCUGAAGUCACAACCAUGGGCGAGUGGGCUGAGACUGGUAAUUAACUGAGCCAAAAAAAACCUCUAUUUUUUGGCCCUUUUUUUUGUUUUUUUGUCGGCUAGUGAUAGUUGCUGGUUGCUCACUAAAGCCAUAGCCACUACCUACUGCUGCCUUUUUCCAAAAGGGAUGCAAU